rnacentral:rRNA from 1 species
UAGGGAAUCUUCCGCAAUGGACGCAAGUCUGACGGAGCAACGCCGCGUGAGUGAAGAAGGAUUUCGGUUCGUAAAACUCUGUUGUUAGAGAAGAACAGCGCAUAGAGUAACUGUUAUGCGUGUGACGGUAUCUAACCAGAAAGCCACGGCUAACUACGUGCCAGCAGCCGCGGUAAUACGUAGGUGGCAAGCGUUGUCCGGAUUUAUUGGGCGUAAAGCGAGCGCAGGCGGUCAAUUAAGUCUGAUGUGAAAGCCCCCGGCUCAACCGGGGAAGGUCAAUGGAAACUGGUUGACUUGAGUGCAGAAGAGGAGAGUGGAAUUCCAUGUGUAGCGGUGAAAUGCGUAGAUAUAUGGAGGAACACCAGUGGCGAAGGCGACUCUCUGGUCUGUAACUGACGCUGAGGUUCGAAAGCGUGGGUAGCAAACAGG